AUGCACGCUGGCGGCGUGCCUAAUACAUGCCAGUCGAGCGAACAGACGAGGAGCUUGCUCCUCUGACGUUAGCGGCGGACGGGUGAGUAACACGUGGAUAACCUACCUAUAAGACUGGGAUAACUUCGGGAAACCGGAGCUAAUACCGGAUAAUAUAUUGAACCGCAUGGUUCAAUAGUGAAGGACGGUUUUGCUGUCACUUAUAGAUGGAUCCGCGCCGCAUUAGCUAGUUGGUAAGGUAACGGCUUACCAAGGCAACGAUGCGUAGCCGACCUGAGAGGGUGAUCGGCCACACUGGAACUGAGACACGGUCCAGACCCCUACGGGAGGCAGCAGUAGGGAAUCUUCCGCAAUGGGCGAAAGCCUGACGGAGCAACGCCGCGUGAGUGAUGAAGGUCUUCGGAUCGUAAAACUCUGUUAUUAGGGAAGAACAAAUGUGUAAGUAACUAUGCACGUCUUGACGGUACCUAAUCAGAAAGCCACGGCUAACUACGUG
rnacentral:rRNA from 1 species